rnacentral:rRNA from 1 species
UAGGGAAUCUUGGACAAUGGGGGAAACCCUGAUCCAGCCAUGCCGCGUGUGUGAUGAAGGCCCUAGGGUUGUAAAGCACUUUCGCCAGGGAAGAUAAUGACGGUACCUGGUAAAGAAACCCCGGCUAACUCCGUGCCAGCAGCCGCGGUAAUACGGAGGGGGUUAGCGUUGUUCGGAAUUACUGGGCGUAAAGCGCGCGUAGGCGGACCAUUAAGUCAGGGGUGAAAUCCCGGGGCUCAACCCCGGAACUGCCCUUGAUACUGGCGGUCUUGAGUUCGAGAGAGGUGAGUGGAAUUCCGAGUGUAGAGGUGAAAUUCGUAGAUAUUCGGAAGAACACCAGUGGCGAAGGCGACACACUGGACAGUUAUUGACGCUGAGGUGCGAAAGCGUGGGGAGCAAACAGGAUUAGAUACCCCUGUAGUCC